UGCAGCUGCGUCAAAUUCAGUCCUCGUCCAGCCCGUGCUGGGGACUGGCCAAACAGCUGCCACAGCAACAGCUGUAGCUCGUGAGCCCCCACUGUCCCUCUCCCUCGACCCUGGGGAUAAAUAAAUGCUACAAACACUG
rfam:Aptenodytes forsteri contig6021, whole genome shotgun sequence.